rnacentral:rRNA from 1 species
GAGGAAAGCUGGCGGCGUGCCUAAUACAUGCAAGUCGAGCGAACGGACGAGAAGCUUGCUUCUCUGAUGUUAGCGGCGGACGGGUGAGUAACACGUGGAUAACCUACCUAUAAGACUGGGAUAACUUCGGGAAACCGGAGCUAAUACCGGAUAAUAUUUUGAACCGCAUGGUUCAAAAGUGAAAGACGGUCUUGCUGUCACUUAUAGAUGGAUCCGCGCUGCAUUAGCUAGUUGGUAAGGUAACGGCUUACCAAGGCAACGAUGCAUAGCCGACCUGAGAGGGUGAUCGGCCACACUGGAACUGAGACACGGUCCAGACUCCUACGGGAGGCAGCAGUAGGGAAUCUUCCGCAAUGGGCGAAAGCCUGACGGAGCAACGCCGCGUGAGUGAUGAAGGUCUUCGGAGCGUAAAACUCUGUUAUUAGGGAAGAACAUAUGUGUAAGUAACUGUGCACAUCUUGACGGUACCUAAUCAGAAAGCCACGGCUAACUACGUG